rnacentral:lncRNA from 1 species
CCCCGCCCCACGCGGGUUCUGCCACUUUAUCCAAUCACGUGCUGAGCUGGCAGCCGCAGCUAUAUAAAAGGCUUCAGGUCCACGCCCAGUGCAGUUCAGUUCCUGCAGAGCUCCUGGUUGAACGUCUGGACCUGCUUAGUCUCCUUUCUUCGGCUUGGUAUCAGCCACACCUUCGACCCUGCUGACUUCCUCAGACUUUCAACCCCUCGGGCCUCUUUUCUAGAAGGUUUGCUUGGCAGUGGCUCUGAUUAUCAGAGUUCCAGAGCCAGCUGCAAAGAACACAGCGAGGAAAUCAGUUACCCAUGGAGGAGCAAAGGCCUCCGAAGCGGCCCCGCGCAGUGGCUCCUGAUCCAGCCUCAGAUGGGGACCUCAGGGAGUCAGACUAUCCUGGUGUGGAACCUGAAGACCCAGGUGAAGCAGAUGGCCCAGUGGAGCCAGGACAACCUGAGAAACCCAUUGCUUAUGUGAACCCCAUGAGAUGCGAGGUCCCUGUCCAUGCAGAGCCAGCUGAACCUGCACAAAGAGGCCGCAUCCGGAGAAGACCCCGGCAAACAGGGAGAGCUCACACUCGGAGACAGAGUCGGAGAGCAGGAAGGCGUAGCCGCUGGGAGACAGACUCCCAGGAGCAGCUAGAAGAAUCUCAGGAGCAGCUAGAAGAAUCUCAGGAACUAGAUGUGCAUGGACAGGUGGAUGACCAGGAAGAGCCAAGCCAUGUGGAUGUGGAAGCCAGGUGGACCCCACCCUUCUCCUUCAUCACAGCACCUACAGUCCAUGAAGACGAGGUGUCAGGGCAUAGAUCCCACCCAACCCAGGUAGCAGGGGAAAUCCGGGAGCCGUCCCCUGUCUCAGGGUACUGGGCUGUCUUGGGAAGGCAGAUUUCAGCCAUCUAUCCCUGCAUAGGCUUCAUCCCACUGCUCGGCUCCUCGCUGCACUUCAUGGAGACCUCCUUCGGCACCCACGUGUUCGGAGUCCCUGUGUUCUUCACCAACAUCGCACGCUGACCUGUCACCUGCUUCAGCUUCCUUCCCUCCUGCUUGGGACUGUGUGUAAUACUGCUCCCUCCUCGCUCAGAACCAAGGAGAGAAUCAAUCCCAUUUCUGCUCCACACCUCCCUGCCUGUACCUAGCAGUGCCUUCCUGUUGUUGGCUCCAAACCCUCCUCCAGGAUCCCAACAACACCUGCCAGCUGCUUCCAAAGCCCCUCCUGGCUAUGUUUUAUCUACGCACACAUAUAUUUAGUUCCUCAGGGCUUGUUAAAAUAAAUCAGCAGUCUCCUCUUGUCCUCCUUCCAGGCACGUUUUUUCCUACCCGAUAUGUACAACCACCAAAUGUUUUUCAAAAAGACAUCAGGAAAGAGGGGGAAAAAAAGGAAAAAGUGACACUCAAGGAAAUAAACCUAAUAGAAUAUUCAGGAAAGUGGACUUUUACAAGAAUAUAAUUAAUACCCUCAGAGAGAAAUGGAAUGAUCUAUCCUUGAGAUGGUAGCGUGUGGUACAUAAAAAAGCCAAUUACAGAGACUAGGGAUGAGAAACAAGGUUGUUACAAUACAAAAUUAUGUGGAUGGUUUGAGUCACAGAUUGGAUGGGGCUGAAGAACAAAUCAGUAAAAUAGAUGUUUGGGCAGAGGGAGGCCCCGGAAUGUAGCAAAAGAUGUGACAGAUGAGUUCCACUGAAAGCAGUUCUGAAAGAAAGGCUAGCUAACACAGGAGAAUCUGAACAUUUGGAUGAGAGCAACAUAUGAAGAAAUCAUGGCCACUUAUUCCCCCAAGUGAAAGACAUACAUCAUUAGCAAGAUAUGAGAAUAACACAAAUCUGGAAGUAUGAAACAUGAUGGCGAGAAAUUUCCAAAGGCAGCCUGAGAGAUGAGCCCCACAAGGAAAGCUCAGAUUCGCACUGGACUUUGCCGAGCAGCGUUGGUGAGUUUGAGAAGCCACGGGGCAACAUCCUCAGAGCUUUGAAGGGAGCUGACUCUGAACAGAGAAUUCUGUAACUUGGACACAUUUUUGGGGUGGGGAGGGAGGCAGGAAGUGUCUGCCCAAGAUGGAGGCCACAGGAUGGGAGGAAGGACUUAGAAAGGAAAAGGGAAAAGCUCGAAUCCAAAGCAUGAAUUUUCCCCGAACUUGCAGCACACAACUUUUAAUAAAUGAGGUAAUAAAAGCCCCUUAUGGUCUUAGUCCAUUUUUCUGUUGUGAUAUCACUAAGUACUGCAGCCUGGGUGGUUUAUAAGGAAUAGAAGCUUAUUGGGCUCACAGUUCAGAGAAUCCAAGAGCACUGGUGCAACCUUCCUGUUCUAUGGGGAAAUGUUAUAGGGCGUCACAUGCCAGCUGAAGCCAGCUGGCCGGUGUGAGCUUGCUUCAACAAAGCCACUCCCUUGGUAACUCAUCAACCCACCAAUCUGAGAAUGGAUUAAUCCACUCAUAAAGGGAGAUCUCUCCUGAUCCUCCCAAAGGUUCCACCACUCAACACUGCUACCUUGGGAACCAAGUUUCCAACACAUGAUCCCUGGGGACACCUUCAUGGCGCUGCACCGAUCAAACUGUUUGGAGUCUGAAGUUGUUACCUGCACUGAAAGCACAGAUCAUGUGAUUCAGUUGGGAAAAACAAACAUCAGCACAAAAAACAGAACCUGGGAGGAGAAAGUGGGCUGCAAGGAGAACCAGGGA